AAUUUUGGACAAUGGGGGAAACCCCGAUCCAGCCAUCCCGCGUGUAUGAUGAAGGCCUCCGGGUUGUAAAGUACUCUUGGCUGAGAAGAAAAGGUAUCCCCCAUUACGGGAUACUGCUGACGGUAUCUGCAGAAUAACCACCGGUUAACUACGUGCCAGCAGCCGCGGUAAUACGGAGGGUGCAAGCGUUAAUCGGAAUUACUGGGCUUAAAGCGUGUGUAGGCGGUUCGGAAAGAAAGAUGUGAAAUCCCAGGGCGCGACCUUGGAACUGCAUUUUUAACUGCCGAGCUAGGGUAGGUCAGAGGGGGGUAGAGUUCCACGUGUAGCAGUGAAAUGCGUAGAUAUGUGGAGGAAUACCAAUGGCGAAGGCAGCCCCCUGGGAUAAUACUGACGCUCAGACACGAAAGCGUGGGGAGCAAACAGG
rnacentral:rRNA from 1 species